rnacentral:rRNA from 1 species
GACGAACGCUGGCGGCGUGCUUAACACAUGCAAGUCGAACGGAAAGGCCCUGCGUUUGUGGGGUGCUCGAGUGGCGAACGGGUGAGUAACACGUGAGUAACCUGCCCUUGACUUUGGGAUAACUUCAGGAAACUGGGGCUAAUACCGGAUAGGAGCUCCUGCUGCAUGGUGGGGGUUGGAAAGUUUCGGCGGUUGGGGAUGGACUCGCGGCUUAUCAGCUUGUUGGUGGGGUAGGGGCUGACCAAGGCUUGGACGGGUAGCCGGCCUGGGAGGGUGGCCGGCCACAUUGGGACUGAGAGACGGCCCAGACUCCUACGGGAGACAGCAGUGGGGAAUAUUGCACAAUGGGCCGAAGCCUGAUGCAGCAACGCCGCGUGCGGGAUGACGGCCUUCGGGCUGUAAACCGCUUUCGCCUGUGACGAAGCGUGAGUGACGGUAAUGGGUAAAGAAGCACCGGCUAACUACGUG